rnacentral:rRNA from 1 species
UACGUAGGGUGCAAGCGUUGUCCGGAAUUAUUGGGCGUAAAGAGCUCGUAGGCGGUUCGUCGCGUCGGCUGUGAAAACCUGAGGCUCAACCUCAGGCCUGCAGUCGAUACGGGCGGACUUGAGUACUGCAGGGGAGACUGGAAUUCCUGGUGUAGCGGUGAAAUGCGCAGAUAUCCGGAGGAACACCGGUGGCGAAGGCGGCUAUCUGGCCCGUAAUUGACGCUGAGGCGCGAAAGCGUGGGGAGCAAACAGG